UACGAAGGGGGCUAGCGUUGUUCGGAAUCACUGGGCGUAAAGCGCACGUAGGCGGAUUUUUAAGUCAGGGGUGAAAUCCCGAGGCUCAACCUCGGAACUGCCUUUGAUACUGGAGAUCUUGAGUCCGGAAGAGGUAAGUGGAACUGCGAGUGUAGAGGUGAAAUUCGUAGAUAUUCGCAAGAACACCAGUGGCGAAGGCGGCUUACUGGUCCGGAACUGACGCUGAGGUGCGAAAAGCGUGGGGAGCAAACAGGG
rnacentral:rRNA from 1 species